GAGAAGAGCCCCAGCCCUUCUGUCUGUGCUAAACCAAUUUGACCCCCAGAACUGUGCCCACAGCCCUCAGCAUGCAGUCUGCCCUCACGCUGGUUUCCAUCCUGACCCUGCUUCAAGGUGUCCAGGGUGAUGUCCAGCUGGUGGAGUCCGGUGGAGACCUGAGACAGCCCGGGGGGUCUCUGCGCCUCUCCUGUAAAGCCUCUGGAUUCUCCUUCAGUAGCAAUUACUGGAUGAGCUGGGUCCGCCAGGCUCCAGGGAAGGGGCUCGAGUGGGUCGCAGGUAUAUGGACUAACAGUGGCAGCACAUACUAUGCAGACUCUGUGAAAGGCCGAUUCACCAUCUCCAAGGACAACGCCAAUAGCCUGGUGAAUCUGCAGAUGAACAGCCUGAAAACCGAGGACAUGGCCCUUUAUUACUGUGCGAGACACAGUGAGAGAAACCACAUCCUGAGCCUGUCAGAAACCCAGGGAGGAUUCCUGGGCUGCAGCUGUCUGGAGGAGCAGAGCAGCAGAGACCACAGACAACAGCCCCAGCCUGGAUUUCCCAUCUUCCCUCUCAAUGAUUACUAAAACCUCCUGAUAUUGCACGUUCU